rnacentral:rRNA from 1 species
AUUGAACGCUGGCGGCAUGCUUUACACAUGCAAGUCGAACGGUAACAGGGAGCUUGCUCCGCUGACGAGUGGCGAACGGGUGAGUAAUGCAUCGGAACGUACCCAGUCGUGGGGGGAUAACGUAGCGAAAGUUACGCUAAUACCGCAUACGUCCUGAGGGAGAAAGCGGGGGACCGAAAGGCCUCGCGCGAUUGGAGCGGCCGAUGUCGGAUUAGCUAGUUGGUAGGGUAAAGGCCUACCAAGGCAACGAUCCGUAGCGGGUCUGAGAGGAUGAUCCGCCACACUGGGACGUGAGACACGGUCCAGACUCCUACGGAGGCAGCAGUGGGGAAG